rnacentral:rRNA from 1 species
GAUGAACGCUGGCGGCGUGCCUAAUACAUGCAAGUCGAGCGAGAAAUCCUGCAGACGAUUCUUCGGAUGAGUCAGCGGGAUGGAAAGCGGCGGACGGGUGAGUAACGCGUAGGCAACUUGCCCUCAGCAGAGGGAUAGCCAUUGGAAACGAUGAUUAAAACCUCAUAAAGCUGUUUUGACACAUGUCGAAACAGCCAAAGAUUUAUCGGCUGAGGAUGGGCCUGCGUCUGAUUAACUGGUUGGUGAGGUAACGGCUCACCAAGGUAACGAUCAGUAGCCGACCUGAGAGGGUGAUCGGCCACAUUGGAACUGAGACACGGUCCAAACUUC